GGCUGGUCCAAUGGUAGUGGGUUAUCAGAACUUAUUAACAUUAGUGUCACUAAAGUUGGUAUUCAACCCCCCACUGCUAAAUUUGACUGGAAAA
rnacentral:Y_RNA from 1 species